rnacentral:ncRNA from 16 species
UGGCAGUGUGGUUAGCUGGUUGU